CAGUGGGAGAAGAGAAGCCGGAGGAAGGGAAGGCACUAGCUCAAGUUCACGUGCACUGUGCAGGCUGAGGCAGUAGAGUCUCAAUGUAGAGUCUAAAGACCUUGACUUCUGAUCCCUGGCCUCACUUAAAAAGCACGCACAUAGUACUAUUUAGAACUCUGCCUGGCUGCCUCCCUGUCUAAAGCCAAGGAUAGGAACAGAGUGGGGCUGAGGAGGAGAUGGGAGGUGGUGUUAGGCUCAUUCCUGCCUCUACGGUGUAACCUGGUACCUGGAGUCACCAAUGGAUAUUCAAUGGGUGGAUGGUGCACAGGGCUCCCACAGGGUUUUAAAUACUCAGUAAGUCACCGGAUGAAACUAGAUUUCACCUCUUAAACCUGCAAAAAGCCAGAAGACCCAGGACAGCAGGUUUGCAUCCCACAUGUAGACCGCCUUGAAGUGGAGUAAGAGCGGACUCUUUUGAAAGGAGGAUUCCUAGUUCCCCGCAGUCCCCACCACUCCCUAUUGCCUUCACCUGCCUCCCAUUCUCAAUUUGGUUCCUGGUCUAGCCCUCACCCCAGGUCUUGGUGUUCUCAGUUUCUGAAUUAAAGGAAACCGUGUGUUGCUGGCUCUA